AAGUUGUAACAAGGUCUCCGUAGGUAAACCUGCGGAGGGAUUAUUACACAAUAACAAGGCGGGCUGGACACCCUCUGCUGGGCACUGCUUUACGGCGUGCGCAGCGGGGCCGGCUCUGCUGAAUUAUUUACCUGUGUCUUUUGCGUACUUCUUGUUUUCUGGGUGGGCUCGCCCGCCCUUAGGACUAACUACAAACCUUUUGCAAUAGCAAUUAGCGUUAGUAACAACGUAAUUAAUUACAA
rnacentral:misc_RNA from 1 species